rnacentral:misc_RNA from 1 species
UCUCCGUUGGUGAGCCAGCGGAGGGAUCAUUACCGAGUUAUUCUACUCCCAAACCCCUGUGAACUUAUACCUUUACUGUUGCUUCGGCGGGUUAACGCCCCGGAAGGCCCGCGAGGGCCGCCGGAACCAGGCGCCCGCCGGGGGCGGCGGGCCCUACGAACCUUUAUAUCUCAACCACCAGAAACCGUCUGAGAAAACAAACAAAAUAAUCAAAACUUUCAACAACGGAUCUCUUGGCUCUG